rnacentral:rRNA from 1 species
GACGAACGCUGGCGGCGUGCUUAACACAUGCAAGUCGAGCGGUAAGGCCCUUUCGGGGGUACACGAGCGGCGAACGGGUGAGUAACACGUGGGUGACCUGCCCUCAGCUCUGGGAUAAGCCUGGGAAACCGGGUCUAAUACCGGAUAUGACUCCAUGACGCAUGUUGUGGGGUGGAAAGCCUUGUGCGGCUGAGGAUGGGCCCGCGGCCUAUCAGCUUGUUGGUGGGGUGAUGGCCUACCAAGGCGACGACGGGUAGCCGGCCUGAGAGGGCGACCGGCCACACUGGGACUGAGACACGGCCCAGACUCCUACGGGAGGCAGCAGUGGGGAAUCUUGCGCAAUGGGCGAAAGCCUGACGCAGCGACGCCGCGUGAGGGAUGACGGCCUCGGUUG